AUCUACAGCCAUACCACGCUGGACACACCUGAUCUUGUCUGAUCUUGGGAGCUAAGCAGGGUCGGGCCCGGUUAAUACUUGGAUGGAAGAAAUAACUUUGCGCAACAGUUC
ensembl:rRNA 5S_rRNA 5S ribosomal RNA